CCUACGGGAGGCAGCAGUGAGGAAUAUUGGUCAAUGGGCGCAAGCCUGAACCAGCCAAGUCGCGUGAGGGAUGACGGUCCUAUGGAUUGUAAACCUCUUUUGUCGGGGAGCAAGGCCCGCCACGUGUGGCGGGAAGGAGAGGACCCGAAGAAAAAGCAGCGGCUAACUCCGUGCCAGCAGCCGCGGUAAUACGGAGGAUGCGAGCGUUAGCCGGAUUGAUUGGGUUGAAAGGGUGCGUAGGCGGAAGGUUAAGUCAGCGGUCAAAUGUCGGUGCUCACCCCCGGCCUGCCGUUGAAACUGGUCUUCUUGAGUGAGCGAGAAGUCUGCGGACUGCGUUGUGUCGCGG
rnacentral:rRNA from 1 species